AGAUAAAUCAAUUAACAAAUGCAUACUGUCGCUCUCAGCGUUAGCAGCUAUGACUACAUUAAAAAGAUAUUUCUGAAGUAAUCUGAAAUACACAUGUCUGUUCCCAUUUUUAGUAGUGUUUCUUGGAACUUUUGCCUGAUAAAUAACUUUUUAAUAACAUUGUGAUCAAUAAACUUGUUGCAUUUACUGUAGCUAGUGUCAACAUGUUUAUUGAGAUGAAAAAUAUUCGUAUAGCCAUCACUUUUUAUAUAAUGACAUCAAGAAACUUGAGGUCCCAGACUCUUAUUGGCGUUAACUUUGCCCGUGAGACACAAGUAUCAUAAAUAUCACAUAAAUGUGCACUUAACUGCAAUUCCUUACACCUAGCUGGCUGCAAAGGUGUUACUUCUUUCAAGAUGUUUCAGUGAUUUUGCUCUGCACACAGAUAAAGAGGCCAUAAACUUAACAUGUAGCAAGUCCUGUAUGAGCUGCAAACACAUGGCUUGCCGACUUCUGCACAUAAGCGUCAACCAAACUUCAUAUUAGGUUAUAAACAAAACUCCAAAAUGGAAGCUCAUUGUUUUUUGUUUUGUUGGCUGGUCAGUGUUAAAAUUGGCAUUGUCCAAAGAAUAAGGCCAUUAAUAAGCUUGCGCAAAGGACGAAUUUUCCUACACAAUAGGUGUAUUAAUCAUGCUUAAAGGAUCUCCAUGCUCCUAAAAUUAUAUAUUCAUAAGCUAGAGUGUGAAUACAGAAUACAGCUCAAUACAGCUUUCACAAAACUGAGACUCUAACAUCACAGAAGUAGCUGCCUCUUGAAGCCACAUGCUGCGCAGUGGGACUGACUGAAAGAGUCUAUGCAACAUCAUUUCUAGUAAAACCUUUCAAAUGAAAUCCAAACUACUGUGCCAAAUCUUGAACUGUAGCACUGAAAACGUGGAGCAGUAAACCUUCAUUUGACAGCAACUUCUCAGUUCAACUCAACUACUACUUGGGUCAGUAGCUUUGCGACUAUUAACACCACACAACAUUCUGUGCCACUAUUUCCUUUUUGUGCAAAGUCUGCAUAUAAUCCUAUUUAUGAGGUACAUAUUAAAAAGCGUUGAUAAAUGCUCAUGGCUGUCAAUACUGAAUAUUCAAUACACAGCUAUUAAGCCACUAGCCACAGUAUGAAGCCUCAACAGUUCCAGUGCAGCAAGUAAAAUGCUGACUUCCAGCUCUUGUUCUUUACAUUGGUUCUAUUCCACUUUCAUCACCCAGUGCACCAACUGUCUGAUGCUGGCAUUAGUAUGAGUAGGGUAUCACUGGAGACCAAUGACAAUAUGCAAAAAGGGAAGGAAUAAGAAUAGAAUUGUUGCUUCAUUUCGGUCUAGAUUACUUUGCAACAAAUGUCAGUGAUGAAAUUCUAAAAAAAUUCAAAUUUAGCCUUACCAUCACUCGCAUUUACCAGUGAGAGAGGAACAUUGCAGUGGUGCACAUUUUGUGCAGGUCAAGUGAAACGUUAGGCAAGACAACGCAAAUCAGCCACGAACGUAUCGAGUGUUUCUAAAGUUGCUUGCAGAUUGCGACACACGCACUUAUAGUAGUACUGCUAAGACAUAAUGUAGUGUUUCAGGCUAACACUACCCACAACAAGCAAUGUUGUCUAUGAAUGCUAGUAGGGUCACAUCAUAAUGGAGGUUUUCUAGUGUAGACGAAUGACGGAAUACUGAAAACAGUAUGGACCUAAGGAGGCACACUUUAGGCAACAUCCUUGUGAUAGUGCACUUAACCAAAGUGCACAAAAUUUAUGUUUCAAUAACCACUUGUGCUUAAUUUGUCCACUACAGUGUCAGCAGAGACACAACAACACGAUGACCAGUUUCAUGCUUUUUCUUC
rnacentral:lncRNA from 1 species